UCGGGUGUCGUGCAAGAUGCACGGCGGCUUUUGGUAAUUGUCUGCAGUUGCGGCAGCCGCAGAUCGGGGUUCGACUCCCCGCACUCGAC